rnacentral:tRNA from 1 species
GUUGUAGCUCAGUGGUAGAGCGGUAGCCUAUAAUGGAUGGGGCACUGAGUUCGAUUCUCAGCACACA